AUAUUUUAACGUGUUGGCUACGAGUUAUGCCGAGAUGCUUUUUGUCUGAAAAGGCGACUACCCCCCGCGCCCCCCAUGCCUCUCUUUGACGAGUGUGUUUAGGAAACGUCAGGGCAAUUGCCAUGUAAUGUUUUCAGUACGGAGGUCCCGAUCACAUUUUUCCAUCACAGUCCGAGUCUUUGAUUUUAAGAAUCUGCCGAUACAGAGUCCUGAUCUAGUACAUAAAACUACUCUGAUAUCUCUAAAAAAAAAAAACAUCCUGGAGAUCACUAAUGAGCACCCAACUGUGAAAUCUGUCAUCAUACACAUAAAGGCCCUGGAUGUUGUCAAGCAGCAAUGAGAGGUGCUGAAGCGGGAUUUCACUGAUCUCCUAACAAAGUUUUCAUAAGUGGACCUCUCCCAACGGUACGAUUUGGAAAUGAAUGUUUCACGAGGUUCAGUCAAUUAAAUAAGUGGCUCAAAGAAGUGUGGACUGCACUGCCCGUGAGUAUCAUUGACAAUUUCUGCCUUUUUUGGCAGUGCAGACAUCUUUACCAGCCAUACGCUUUCUGUCUAAAUAGACAAGGGGUGAAGUUAUUGGCUGCCAACAUCUUUGACUGUGUACGUCAUUCAGCGGCCCGAAAGGAAAACACUGGCCUUGUUGACACGGCUGAAGGACAAAAAGAUGCAGUUGUUCCCAAACAAUCGGAGGAGCAAGAGAUAAGGUCACACGAAGCGCAGAUGGAUUCAUUAGCGUCAUCCAAACAAUCAGAGGAACGGAGGAGGAAUGAGAUGAGCCAGCACUUUGAAUCUCCCUGACCCAUUGGAACAAAGCCCAAAGCAAAACUCACUCUUUACGACCCUAAAUGUGACAGACUCUCUUGAUUAUGAGAGACAGAAAAUCCCUGGUCUGAUGAGACAAACAUUUAAAGUCAAAGUCAAAGAUGAAAAAGGUUUUGUUGUUGUUCAAUAUAGCAGCCUACUGAAGAUUAGACCGCUGUUCAUAUUUAUAUUUAGCAUGAAAUACAGUAUAUACGGUUAAGGCAAAAUCCGUUUUGAGAUCUGUGAGGGGAAAGGGUAGCCAGCAAAUUCAUUUGUUUGACCAGCUUCCUUAGCAAUGACUAUCAUAACAAAUGUCAGAAGAUGAAACAGCAAAAAAAAGGAUUUAUCCUCUCUAACCUCAUAAAUAACAACUAAGUAUCACUUCAUACUUUUCGACGUGAAAUAGAAACCUCGUUAGGGUUCUGCAGGAAAGAAAUCAAAGCUCAUCGGGGGUCCCAACAAGACUCACAGAAAGCCUACGUACAAAUCAGGGAGGACAUUAUGUGCACAGCGACUGAAGCUAUUCUCGGUUUCAAUACGUGGACACGAUGUUAAGGUAAUACUGUGGUCGCUUCAAAAGGGACUAAAUAAAACACGUCAUACUAUAGACUAUCAUCACUCUUCAGCUAACGCUACUAGAACCUGUGCAUGAUAGUCAGGACAAGGAUGGACAAGAAAAAAACCCCCCUCCAAAACAAAAAGGUGGUUCUGAGAAGUGGAGAGAUUAAAAAGAAAUUCCCGAGGCAGUGGCGGCUACACAAAAUGUAAUGAACAGCGAUUUGGCGCUCGUUCGAGUUUGGCUCCGGCCACACAGGAGUCCGUUGCCAGCACAAGCUUACUUUAACAGCUGGAUAUCGACAAACACGAAAGACCUCGUGAUAUCAUUGAAACUUUGUGAUGCUUGAUGUGAGAAUGCUUCUUUUGCUAACAUUAGUUUGCUUGGUAACGGCGCUACCAAGUGCCAACUAUAGCCUCGUUGUGUAGGCUGCCUGGGCCUACGUUUCACAGAGUUCCAAAGUGACCAAAUCUUUCCUACAUUUGUCAACCUGCUCACUGCUGAUGUUAUUUUCUGGUUGAAAUCAACCUGUUACUGUCUGAGUCUGCUACUAAAUGAAUAUGAAUGAAGAAAUAGCUCAUUAAUUUGUCUGUGCAUGCCCCAUCCCAUAUACAUGGGAUCAUCAGCAACCACAACAAUCAGUCAUUUCAUCCCAGAGUGUGUGUUAGGCCUGCACACAAUGAGGAAAAACCGCAAUAUUGGAAUAUGACGUGAUAAAUAAGCUACGAGAUAGAAUUGGUUAUCACAUCUUAAUUCACUUUCUCAUUUGUCUUUAGUGUCCAGGAUGUCAUUAUCGCUUGACGAUGAACAUUUGACACAAGGUUCUGCAGCCUUGUGUCUGGCUUCGUCAAUCCGUUUGCGCAGGAUGUCGUGGCAAUUUCAAAAUGUCAAUAACGUGUAUAGGCAUAUUUUGUUGUCUCUCAAUCAUAGCAUGCACGUUCCCGAGAGGACAGCGACCCUCAAAUUGGUGUGGUAUGGGUACGACUAGUGUUACGCCGGAUCACUCUAUUGGUAUGUGACAAUCUCGGAAUUCAAUGUUCCAAAUGUAAACAAUGUUUCAGUGGCUUAAACUUUGAAUUUUUCAUUUUUUCUUUUCAUCCAGUGCAGUGUAUUUGUUGAGUACAAUUCAGUCGUAUAGAACUUUUAAGCUCAAUACAGUUGCAUUUAAGAAUUCUUUGUUUCCAAAUAUUUUAGGUAACAUGUUUGUGUUCAAAAUAUUUGAAUUGAAUUAAUUACUGAUGUACAUAGGACGAUAUUUAAGAACACUGCUAAUGUUCAAACUAAAGUUACAGUGGCUUAUGAUUAUAUUAAAUACAGUUUUUAAGAAAGAAACUGAAACUGCCUUGUUGUCUGUAACUCAGACAUGUUGGUCAUUCUGGUGGAACUUUUCAAGAUUCAAGUAUUUUUGGAGGUGGUACUUUGUGUGAAACAUUUGAGAAGUACUAAUCUACAUCAGGCGUCACGGUGAGCGACUGGUUAGCACAUCUGCCUCACAGUUCUGAGGACCGGGGUUCAAAUCCCGGCCCCGCCUGAGUGGAGUUUGCAUGUUCUCCCCGUGCCUGGGUGGCUUUUCUCCGGGCACUCCGCUUUCCUCCCACAUCCCAAAAAGAUGCGUGCUAGGUUGAUUGAAGACUCUAAAUUGCCCAACAGGGCCCAACACAGGAGCCAGCAGCCAUCCAAAAAACGGCCAUAGCCUGCCAAAGCGAGCCCACAGGAGGGCACAGGCCCAGGACGCAGCAGCACGGCCCCCGAGCCCCCACCCGGGGAGCAGGAUGAGACCCCCGGAGUGGGGCCAAGGGGCACAGGAGGGCACAUUCCCGGGACGAAGCAGCGCGGGCCCCCCAAGUCCCCACUCGGAGACCAGGACGAGACCCCAGAGUGGGGCCGACGGGCACCCGGGGACAGAGAGCAGCCCCAGGAGGGCAAUACAUUUUAAUGAAAGUUCCAGUAUUGGAGCCGGGAGGGCGCUUUGUGUCCUCUCUCUCCCCCCUCCCCUCUCUGUUUUCAGCACCUGUCUUCAAUCAGCCUCAUCACCACCGGUGUAUAUAAGCCUGCCUGUUCCCGGAAAUCCUCGCCUAAGUAUUGCAGCCUCUCCUAGCGUGCUCCCCUGUGUUCCUGACCCACGUCGUUCCUGCCACCGAGCCAGCCGCCUGCUCUGUCCACUGCCUGCCACCUGUCCACGCCGCCGCCUGCCAACACAUCCGGGACCACCUCCAUAACCUUU